UAUUCUAUUAGUUCUGCCCCUCUAAGAGAACCCUGACUAAUACACUUGGACAGCCUGGAAAAUCAUGUCCUGCAUCUAGACAAUACCCACAUGGGUCACACUUUAAUGGCAACAAUAUAGUUAUUCUAGAUCAGAGACUUGGAAGGGACUACGGCUUGAGACAUAUGAGUGUGUCUCAAGGAACUGGACCAGUUUUAGCAUAGAUUUUUUGAAGCAUUAAAAGCCCACCUACAUCCUAGUUUCCCAUAAUGAAAGUGUGGCGCUCCACUGCACUGAGCUUUGGGAGGGGGUUAGGUGUGUGAGACACAGCAGUGUCAAAUUGCAGUGUUUAAUUUCCGCGACUAAAUAAACACUCCAUUUACAUGAAUUGUGUAUUAUAGAAGGGAGUAAUUGCAGAGUCAUGACCAAGGCAGGAUGCAGAGAUUGACAAGGGGUUGGAGUAAGAGCCAUACCUGCUUCACCAAUGAUUUUCAAAGGAGACAGAGGCUUUCUUUGUUGAGCUGUCUUCCUGAGGUUGUUUGGAGCCGCUGUGUCAUGGAUAAAGAACUCCCUAAAGCCAGUGCCAACAAGCUUGCGCUGAACAUCAAGAAGCCUGACAAGUCCUUCAAAUGCAAGAAGCCCACCAAAAAUGUGCUGGUCUUUUUAAUCAACAGACAACUGGGCAGGCACAGAAGUGACAUCGACCUGUCAAGGUGGCUAUGGAUGCUGUCAUAAAGCAACCCCAGGGUGAACAUGGCUUUGGACAAAAGUCAUGUGGCUUAUGUGCUGAGGCCUGCCCAGAAUUUUGAGAAAUUAAAUAUAAUUAGAACAAUAAACUCCUCCCAUGUUUGAGCCAUUAAAACAGAGUCUGUCAUUUCA